rnacentral:rRNA from 1 species
UGAGUAACGCGUAUCCAACCUGCCGUCUACUCUUGGACAGCCUUCUGAAAGGAAGAUUAAUACAAGAUGGCAUCAUGAGUCCGCAUGUUCACAUGAUUAAAGGUAUUCCGGUAGACGAUGGGGAUGCGUUCCAUUAGAUAGUAGGCGGGGUAACGGCCCACCUAGUCUUCGAUGGAUAGGGGUUCUGAGAGGAAGGUCCCCCACAUUGGAACUGAGACACGGUCCAA